rnacentral:rRNA from 1 species
UACGAAGGGGGCUAGCGUUGCUCGGAAUCACUGGGCGUAAAGCGCACGUAGGCGGACUCUUAGGUCGGUGGUGAAAUCCUGGAGCUCAACUCCAGAACUGCCUUCGAUACUGGGAGUCUCGAGUCCGGGAGAGGUGAGUGGAACUGCGAGUGUAGAGGUGAAAUUCGUAGAUAUUCGCAAGAACACCAGUGGCGAAGGCGGCUCACUGGCCCGGUACUGACGCUGAGGUGCGAAAGCGUGGGGAGCGAACAGG